AGAUCACAUAAGAGCCGUAUUUCUGAUGCUACUAAGCCUAGGUUAGGGACACUUUUAAGGCACAGUUCAUGAAUCCUUAAGCUUUGUUUAUGUACACCACAAAGCCCUUGAAGCAGAAUUUCCAGGGCCUCGACAUGUUGAGUCUCAAUAAUUCCCUGAACCACACACUCCAUUCGCACUUCAAUUUAUUCAAACCUUGAACAGUUGAAGCAAUCUCACUUUUUCCCCCAAUCUGAGCUGCAAAAAUUCAAUUAAAAAAAAUAGUUCGAAAGCUUAAACAGGCAGACCUAAAUUAAUCACAUAACAAAAAAU
rnacentral:misc_RNA from 1 species